UACGAAGGGGGCUAGCGUUGUUCGGAAUCACUGGGCGUAAAGCGCGCGCAGGCGGCUAUCCAAGUCAGUGGUGAAAGCCCGGAGCUCAACUCCGGAACUGCCAUUGAAACUGUUUAGCUGGAGUAUGAGAGAGGUGAGUGGAAUUCCCAGUGUAGAGGUGAAAUUCGUAGAUAUUGGGAAGAACACCGGUGGCGAAGGCGGCUCACUGGCUCAUUACUGACGCUCAUGCGCGACAGCGUGGGGAUCAAACAGG
rnacentral:rRNA from 1 species